UCACGGAGAUCAUUAUGUAAAACGCGUCAUGCAGUGGUGUAGAGGUUGGGUAAGAACGGAACGUGUUGCUUCAUCAUCAAUUUGGUGCAAUAGCCGCAAGGCUUAAAAGGUGGGUCAGGGUGAGAAAAAGUCGUAUAAAAGGAGAGAGAAAAGGCGAUCAGACAUCAGUAGAGUGAGCGUCUCCGACACGGCAACAACUGCAGCGCACUACAGGUCACCAAAUGCCUUCUUCAUCGUAUUACAUCAGUUCGCAAUCAUGGUUAACUAUGGCGUUGUGGUGCUGUCGGGUGUUGUAUCGUUGAUGGCUGCGUCGACCACAGGUGUACUGAUGUCUCCUGGGUAUGGUGGAUACCAAGCAACAGCACCGAAAGAAGACUACACCACGUCACCGCUACACUACAAAAAAAUGUUAACGCACGCAACACAUACUUACUACACCGAGGCCCCCAACUAGUACACCCUAGAGGCUUCAGAGUAUUACACGAAAACUUAUGCUGCCCCGAGCUACUACGUCGAAGCCACCAAGUAUUACUCUGCCCCGAGAUACAUCACCAAAGCGCUUGAGUACUAUACCGAGGCUCAAGUUUAUUACACCACUUAAGCUGUCGAAUACUACACCGAAGCGCCCAAGUACUACAAUGCAACAUAGACUGCCCCAGCUUAGCACACCGUGGCACUGGAGUACUACUACACCACCCCCGAGGCACCGAAGUACUACUACACCACCACCGAGGCACCGGAGUACUACUACACCACCACCGAGGCACCGGAGUACUACACAACUACUUACGCUACUCCGACCUACUACACCGAAGCUCCGAAGCACUACUCUACCCCGAGUUACUACACUACUUAGGCAUCUGAAUAUUAUACCACAACCAACGCUUCCCCAACUUACUACGAGAAGGCUCCUUAAUACUAGAGUCGAAAUUUCUAUUUGUUAAUCAUUUAAAUUCGUCGGUUAUCUUCAUGGUUACUAGUGACUGUGAAUUGAUUGUUGAUCUUAAACGAGAAAAUAAAAAAGACUAAAGAAUAAGACUUUUAUUAAUACCUACCUUUUCGACAUUGCGACAGGCGUUUCUAUUUGUGUUGACUUCUUCAAUGUUAGUAUGCUGUGUUAUGAUUUGUUUGUUUCAUGUAUUAGAGAUGACUACUGCCUUCGUUGCUUUGCAUACGGACAUUCUUCUGCUUUGACGAUUGUUUUAGUGUAAGUUGCGAAAGAAUGGUUCUGCGUUAAGUAUACUCUAAAUUUUGAUCUUGAA